UACGUAGGGUGCGAGCGUUGUCUGGAAUUAUUGGGCGUAAAGAGCUUGUAGGCGGUUUGUCGCGUCUGCUGUGAAAAUCCGGGGCUCAACCCCGGACUUGCAGUGGGUACGGGCAGACUAGAGUGUGGUAGGGGAGACUGGAAUUCCUGGUGUAGCGGUGAAAUGCGCAGAUAUCAGGAAGAACACCCGUGGCGAAGGCGGCUCUCUGGAACGCAACUGACGCUGAGACGCGAAAGCGUGGGGAGCAAACAGG
rnacentral:rRNA from 1 species